AAGUAUGGAUACUAAAACAAUUAAGGACAUUUAAUGGUAAAAAUCAUGGAGAAUCCCCCUUUGCUCGGCUAAUUUCUCAUUUCUACCGGUCCUAGGGAUGAAUUAGGCUUUAUUAGUUGCUAGAUCUGUGGCUCUGGUGAGGAUGGAUUUUCAUUUGCGGUGGGUUUUGUCUGUCUACACCAAUCAUUUUCUCUAUUUCAAUUGACAGGUAUCUAUGUGUGAUCUUAGGGUUUUCUAAUUCUGGCAAUUGAUUGGUUUCAAUUUUCUUUGGAAUAAGUAUUAAGGGUUUUCUUUAGGGUCAAUUUCUAGUUCCUUGAAUUUGCAAUAACAGAAGAAUAUUAGCUUGCACCUCCAUAUUGUUUUCAAAUCAAAUUCCUCAACCCAUGUAUGUUUUUCCUUGUGUUCAUCCUUUGGACUAGUAAUAAUUUGUUUUUAAUCAACCCCCUCAACAUCCCCAUGAUCCUAUUUUCUAAAUUCCCUGUAAUCCUUGCUGGUUCUUUGUUUUAGAUGUUGGUUUUGUUAACCAGGUCCCCCUGAGCUUUGUUAGAAAUUAAAAAUAUAGAAUAAGUUAGUGUUGUCCUGGCUUUGUUAGAAGUAAAAAAUGUUGCUGGUUUAGUUAACCAGUGCCUCUUCCGCUUUGUGAUUAUUCCAUCAGUUUGAAGACCUUGUGUCAGACCUGUUCUGACAAAUGCAACCUAUAUAUACCAAGUGAUAUCAACAACAUCAACAAAGGCAGCAACAACAGCAACACUGUAAUCCUUUGUCUUUUGAUUUUCUCGGUGUUUUAUGUUUUAGAACCUUAGUCCUGCUUUAUAUCUAUGUAAGGUGUAACACAACAUAGAGUUUUCCUAAUUGUUGUAUUAGACUACCGUCUCGGGGUAACAGUCUACAUCAAAUUGUAUUUUUUGGCAUUCAUAACUGUAACUUGUAAGUGCUCGUUUAUAAAGCACAUUUGUAGUUCUAUUCUCUGCCCUUGUAUUAGUUUACAUACUUAGGUUUUGCAAGCGGUUCUCCUCUCCUGUA